GUUGGCUACGGCGACAUAUACCCGACCACGGCCCUGGGAAAGGUCAUCGGCGGCGUCUGUUGUAUCUGCGGCGUGCUGGUUAUUGCGCUGCCCAUUCCAAUUAUCGUCAACAAU
rfam:Acyrthosiphon pisum strain LSR1 Contig36567, whole genome shotgun sequence.